rnacentral:rRNA from 1 species
UACGUAGGGGGCAAGCGUUGUCCGGAAUCAUUGGGCGUAAAGAGCGUGUAGGCGGCCCGGUAAGUCCGCUGUGAAAGUCCAGGGCUCAACCCUGGGAUGCCGGUGGAUACUGUCGGGCUCGAGUCCGGAAGAGGCGAGUGGAAUUCCUGGUGUAGCGGUGAAAUGCGCAGAUAUCAGGAGGAACACCAAUUGCGAAGGCAGCUCGCUGGGACGUUACUGACGCUGAGACGCGAAAGCGUGGGGAGCGAACAGG